AAGAAAGAAUUGCAGGAACUGCUAACUCUUGCCCCCAUACCUAAAAAUAUGGCUUUCUUA
rnacentral:tRNA from 1 species